rnacentral:sRNA from 1 species
GCAUUGAGACUGGCGCUUGCCUACUAGGGCAGCCACAGGGGGGUUCCCCAGGGACAGAGAUUAUGUCUACUUUGAGAAUUCUUCCAGCAACCCAUACCUAAUAAGAAGGAUAGAAGAACUCAACAAGAAGAAAUUGAGGAAGAAUCUGAAACAACAGUUGAGGCUGACUUGACCGAUAAGCAGAAACAUCAGUUGAAACAUAGGGAACUCUUUUUGUCACGCCAGUAUGAAUCUCUGCCCGCAACACAUAUCAGGGGAAAGUGCAGUGUUGCCCUUCUGAAUGAGACAGAAUCAGUAUUGUCAUAUCUUGAUAAGGAGGAUACCUUCUUCUACUCAUUGGUCUAUGACCCCUCAUUGAAAACACUAUUAGCUGACAAAGGUGAAAUCAGAGUGGGACCUAGAUAUCAAGCAGACAUUCCAGAAAUGCUGUUAGAAGGAGAAUCAGAUGAGAGGGAACAAUCAAAAUUGGAAGUUAAAGUUUGGGAUCCAAAUAGCCCACUUACGGAUCGACAGAUUGACCAGUUUUUAGUUGUAGCACGUGCUGUUGGGACAU